CAGUUGAACAUUUUUGCCUCUCUUCCUAAACGAUAUAUAAAUUUAAUUGUGUGGGUUAUGUGGCUUGGAGAAAAAGACUUUUUUUUUUAGAGAAAGAGGGAAUAUCUAUGGAAUGUUUUUGUGCUGGAAUAUGUUUUUUUUUUGCAUCAAUUCUCUUUCAUGUGGGGAAAAUAAUUAGGAUUUUUCUUGGGAGAAAGGUGCUUUUCUUGUUGGUAUAGUGCUUCCUUCUGUAUGUGCUUCUAUUUAUCCACGAGAAAUGUGUGGAAAAUGAGGGAGAAUUUUUUGGAGGAGAAUUUGUACUAAGCAGAAUGUUUGAAGACUAGCGCAUGCGAAAUGGGGGGCCUUAUUGUAGGUUCUAGGGGAUGAUUAUUCCGUGUGCAGUUGAGGGUAGUCAGUUUAUCAAGAGUCGCUGUUGAGAUAAUAUCGUUUUCAGACGAAUCUCCAUUUUAGUCUAAUAAAUUAAUUAUUGAGAUACAUAUCAUCGUAACAACGAGUGUUUUAUCUAACUAAGCAAAGUGAACAAUUUAGGAAUAGCUCUGCAAUUAUGCUUAACUAACUUCACAAUGAUCCAGGCUGAUUUGCGAGUAAAGUAGACCGCCAAACGAGAGGGAAAAUCUUUCAAUCUGAAUUAAUGUCAUCAAUGUGAUUGCCAUAUACUCUAUUGACAGUCAAUUUCGCUUUAAUUGAAGUGAAGCCGAUCGAGAUAGGAGAGGGUAGGGUAUGCAGAGCUAUAUCCUGACAAAUUGUCGUCAAUAUGAUAUUGUGAGGAGAGAGAAAUAGGAAAGGAAGGAAGUGCUAUUUCCUGUGAUUUUCUUAUAAAUAUUCAUUCUAAUGCACUUUUGAUGCACUCACCUGGAAUAUUUGCUGGGGUUGGAAAAACAAAAGGUACAGAGUGUAAAGGGGAGACGGGGAAAAACUACAAAAUUGAGAAGGAUUUUGUGGAAAGUCAUCAAAAGUCGUGGUGAAGUUUCAGUCGUGAAAAUUUCUACAGGAAAUUGUGGCAAUUAAAAUAGUCGAAUGUGGCACAAAGGUGGAAUGAUAUACUAAAACUAAUGAACUUUUGAUCAUUCAGUCCAAGAAUUGUGUUUAGUGGUUUGUUGAAUGUGCUGAAAGUUCUGUGGAAUCACCAUGAAGACAACGAUAGCAAAUUUAGCACUCAUUUUUACAACAAUUGCAACUUCAGCCAUCUUCACUGAGGGGAAGUCAAGUCAAUCCUCAGACACAAAAGCCGAGUACAACAAUGAACUCAACUUUCCCCGUUUUGCUGAACCCAUUCCAAAUAUCACCGUGUCAGUGGGUCGUGAUGCACUUCUGGCGUGUGUUGUGGAUAAUUUAAAAGGGUACAAGGU